AUGGACUUGGGUGACCACUUCGAACGUUCCGGGCCGACGCAUUUGAUGGCAAGAGCCGGCUCCGGUUCUAUUCGGAUGAUGAUUGACUGGGACAAAGAGGAGCACCGCCGCUGCGUCGCCGCUAGCCUUGUCAACAGCACGUACGUCAUGGAGAAGGACCGCGGCAGAUGGAGCAGGGCGCAACUCGCGCCGGCGUGGUGGACGAGCUUUCACUUUCACUUGGAGCGCACGCGCCUACUUGAGGACGAACGUUCCAUCUUUGGCGCUAUCUACAGGCACGUGCCGCCGCCGGGCCAGCAUCAUCCCUCCGCUCCACACUACAUCGUCGCCUUCAGGGGCACCAUGACAGUAGAUGACAUGCAGCUUAACGCACACAUCGUGACCAACACCGUGCAUGACUCCAACCGCUCGCAGCUCGCUCACCAGGCGGUCCGCAACCUCCUCGCCACAGUCCACAGCCGAUGCAUCGUCUGGCUCACAGGCCACUCUCAGGGUGCGUCGCUGGCGCUGGAGGUGGGGCGGCACCUAAUGCUAGACCACCGGCGCAACCUCCCGACCUUCCUCUUCAAUCCGCCGCAGGUAUCGCUGGCGCCCGUCAUCAACUUGACGCAUUCGCCGGACGACAAGACGGACCUGUACACCUUGAGCAAGCUCGUCAAGGCUGGCCUCGGGAAGGUCCUCCGUCCCCACCGGAAGCGCAUGGAGAAGCUGUUCGAGCAGCUGUCCUCGUGGGCACCCAACCUGUACGUGCACGAGAAGGACUUCCUGUGCCAGGGCUUCAUCGACUACUUCGAGCAGAGGGAGAAGCUGGAGAGGCGCUUCCGCGGAGCUGCCAGGUCGGCAACGGCACUCUCCUACCGUGACAUGCUCUUUUACCUGCUCGGCAAGGCCAAGGAGCCGAGGCCGCACCUCCUGCCAUCAGCAACGGUGUGGAAAAACUCGACCCAUGUCUGCCGCCUUCGCUCACAUGGUCUCAAGCAAUGGUGGAAACCGGACGGUGAACUUAUCUUGACCCCAAGGCGUUACACAUAUUAA
rnacentral:rRNA from 1 species